UACAGAGGGUGCAAGCGUUAAUCGGAUUUACUGGGCGUAAAGCGUGUGUAGGUGGCUUCCUAAGUCGGUUGUGAAAUCCCUGGGCUCAACCUGGGAAUUGCAGUCGAUACUGGGAAGCUCGAGUUCGGUAGAGGGUGACGGAAUUCCGCGUGUAGCAGUGAAAUGCGUAGAGAUGCGGAGGAACACCGAUGGCGAAGGCAGCCCCCUGGGCUAGCACUGACGCUCAGGCACGAAAGCGUGGGGAGCAAACAGG
rnacentral:rRNA from 1 species